rnacentral:rRNA from 1 species
UACAGAGGGUGCGAGCGUUAAUCGGAAUUACUGGGCGUAAAGCGCGCGUAGGCGGCUUUGCAAGUCGGGUGUGAAAUCCCUGGGCUUAACCUAGGAACUGCACUCGAGACUGCAUUGCUAGAGUAUGGUAGAGGGAAGUGGAAUUUCCGGUGUAGCGGUGAAAUGCGUAGAUAUCGGAAGGAACACCAGUGGCGAAAGCGACUUCCUGGACCAAUACUGACGCUCAGGCGCGAAAGCGUGGGGAGCAAACAGG